UACGUGGGGGGCAAGCGUUGUUCGGAAUUACUGGGCGUAAAGGGUCUGUAGGUGGCUUGCUAAGUCAGACGUGAAAUCCCUCGGCUUAACCGGGGAACUGCGUCUGAUACUGGCGAGCUUGAGUGCAGGAGAGGAACGCGGAAUUCCAGGUGUAGCGGUGAAAUGCGUAGAUAUCUGGAGGAACACCGGUGGCGAAGGCGGCGUUCUGGACUGCAACUGACACUGAGAGACGAAAGCCAGGGGAGCAAACGGG
rnacentral:rRNA from 1 species